rnacentral:rRNA from 1 species
AUUGAACGCUGGCGGCAGGCCUAACACAUGCAAGUCGAGCGAGCGGCGGACGGGUGAGUAAUGUCUGGGAAACAGCCUGAGGGAGGGGGGUAACUACUGGAAACGAUAGCUAAUACCGCAUCCCAUCAGAUGUGCCCAGAUGGGAUUCGCUAGUAGGUGGGGUAAUGGCUCACCUGGGAGACGGUCCCUAGCUGGUCUGAGAGGGUGACCAGCCACACUGGAACUGUGACACGGUCCAGACGCCUACGGGAGGCAGCAGUGGGGAAUAUUGCACAAUGGGCGCAAGCCUGAUGCAGCCAUGCCGCGUGUGUGAAGAAGACCUUCGGGUUGUAAAGCACUUUCAGCGGGGAGGCGUUACCCGCAGAAGAAGCACCGGCUAACUCCGUGCCAGCAGCCGCGGUAAUUC